rnacentral:rRNA from 1 species
GAUGAACGCUGGCGGCGUGCUUAACACAUGCAAGUCGAGCGAGAAGUUUUGAAAAGAUUCUUCGGAUGAAAUUUAAAAUGGAAAGCGGCGGACGGGUGAGUAACGCGUAGGCAACCUGCCCCAUACAAAGGGAUAGCAUUUGGAAACGAAUAUUAAUACCUUAUGAAACUUAACUAGUGCAUGCUAGGUAGGUCAAAGAUUUAUCGGUAUGGGAUGGGCCUGCGUCUGAUUAGCUAGUUGGUGAGGUAACGGCUCACCAAGGCGACGAUCAGUAGCCGACCUGAGAGGGUGAACGGCCACAUUGGAACUGAGACACGGUCCAAACUCCUACGGGAGGCAGCAGUGGGGAAUAUUGCACAAUGGGGGAAACCCUGAUGCAGCAACGCCGCGUGAACGAUGAAGGCCUUUGGGUCGUAAAGUUCUGUUCUAGGUGAUGAAAACUGACAGUAACCUAGG